UUAAGUUAUUAAGGGCGCACGGUGGAUGCCUUGGCACUAGAAGCCGAUGAAGGACGUUACUAACGACGAUAUGCUUUGGGGAGCUGUAAGUAAGCUUUGAUCCAGAGAUUUCCGAAUGGGGAAACCCAGCAUGAGUUAUGUCAUGUUAUCGAUAUGUGAAUACAUAGCAUAUCAGAAGGCACACCCGGAGAACUGAAACAUCUUAGUACCCGGAGGAAGAGAAAGAAAAUUCGAUUCCCUUAGUAGCGGCGAGCGAAACGGGAAGAGCCCAAACCAACAAGCUUGCUUGUUGGGGUUGUAGGACACUCUAUACGGAGUUACAAAGGACGACAUUAGACGAAUCAUCUGGAAAGAUGAAUCAAAGAAGGUAAUAAUCCUGUAGUCGAAAAUGUUGUCUCUCUUGAGUGGAUCCUGAGUACGACGGAGCACGUGAAAUUCCGUCGGAAUCUGGGAGGACCAUCUCCUAAGGCUAAAUACUCUCUAGUGACCGAUAGUGAACCAGUACCGUGAGGGAAAGGUGAAAAGCACCCCGGAAGGGGAGUGAAAUAGAACCUGAAACCGUGUGCUUACAAGUAGUCAGAGCCCGUUAAUGGGUGAUGGCGUGCCUUUUGUAGAAUGAACCGGCGAGUUACGAUUUGAUGCAAGGUUAAGCAGUAAAUGUGGAGCCGUAGCGAAAGCGAGUCUGAAUAGGGCGUUUAGUAUUUGGUCGUAGACCCGAAACCAGGUGAUCUACCCUUGGUCAGGUUGAAGUUCAGGUAACACUGAAUGGAGGACCGAACCGACUUACGUUGAAAAGUGAGCGGAUGAACUGAGGGUAGCGGAGAAAUUCCAAUCGAACCUGGAGAUAGCUGGUUCUCUCCGAAAUAGCUUUAGGGCUAGCCUCAAGUGAUGAUUAUUGGAGGUAGAGCACUGUUUGGACGAGGGGCCCCUCUCGGGUUACCGAAUUCAGACAAACUCCGAAUGCCAAUUAAUUUAACUUGGGAGUCAGAACAUGGGUGAUAAGGUCCGUGUUCGAAAGGGAAACAGCCCAGACCACCAGCUAAGGUCCCAAAAUAUAUGUUAAGUGGAAAAGGAUGUGGCGUUGCCCAGACAACUAGGAUGUUGGCUUAGAAGCAGCCAUCAUUUAAAGAGUGCGUAAUAGCUCACUAGUCGAGUGACACUGCGCCGAAAAUGUACCGGGGCUAAACAUAUUACCGAAGCUGUGGAUUGUCCUUUGGACAAUGGUAGGAGAGCGUUCUAAGGGCGUUGAAGCAUGAUCGUAAGGACAUGUGGAGCGCUUAGAAGUGAGAAUGCCGGUGUGAGUAGCGAAAGACGGGUGAGAAUCCCGUCCACCGAUUGACUAAGGUUUCCAGAGGAAGGCUCGUCCGCUCUGGGUUAGUCGGGUCCUAAGCUGAGGCCGACAGGCGUAGGCGAUGGAUAACAGGUUGAUAUUCCUGUACCACCUAUAAUCGUUUUAAUCGAUGGGGGGGACGCAGUAGGAUAGGCGAAGCGUGCGAUUGGAUUGCACGUCUAAGCAGUAAGGCUGAGUAUUAGGCAAAUCCGGUACUCAUUAAGGCUGAGCUGUGAUGGGGAGAAGACAUUGUGUCUUCGAGUCGUUGAUUUCACACUGCCGAGAAAAGCCUCUAGAUAGAAAAUAGGUGCCCGUACCGCAAACCGACACAGGUAGUCAAGAUGAGAAUUCUAAGGUGAGCGAGCGAACUCUCGUUAAGGAACUCGGCAAAAUGACCCCGUAACUUCGGGAGAAGGGGUGCUCUUUAGGGUUAACGCCCAGAAGAGCCGCAGUGAAUAGGCCCAAGCGACUGUUUAUCAAAAACACAGGUCUCUGCUAAACCGUAAGGUGAUGUAUAGGGGCUGACGCCUGCCCGGUGCUGGAAGGUUAAGAGGAGUGGUUAGCUUCUGCGAAGCUACGAAUCGAAGCCCCAGUAAACGGCGGCCGUAACUAUAACGGUCCUAAGGUAGCGAAAUUCCUUGUCGGGUAAGUUCCGACCCGCACGAAAGGCGUAACGAUUUGGGCACUGUCUCAACGAGAGACUCGGUGAAAUCAUAGUACCUGUGAAGAUGCAGGUUACCCGCGACAGGACGGAAAGACCCCGUGGAGCUUUACUGUAGCCUGAUAUUGAAAAUUCGGCACAGCUUGUACAGGAUAGGUAGGAGCCUUUGAAACGUGAGCGCUAGCUUACGUGGAGGCGCUGGUGGGAUACUACCCUAGCUGUGUUGGCUUUCUAACCCGCACCACUUAUCGUGGUGGGAGACAGUGUCAGGCGGGCAGUUUGACUGGGGCGGUCGCCUCCUAAAAGGUAACGGAGGCGCUCAAAGGUUCCCUCAGAAUGGUUGGAAAUCAUUCAUAGAGUGUAAAGGCAUAAGGGAGCUUGACUGCGAGACCUACAAGUCGAGCAGGGUCGAAAGACGGACUUAGUGAUCCGGUGGUUCCGCAUGGAAGGGCCAUCGCUCAACGGAUAAAAGCUACCCCGGGGAUAACAGGCUUAUCUCCCCCAAGAGUUCACAUCGACGGGGAGGUUUGGCACCUCGAUGUCGGCUCAUCGCAUCCUGGGGCUGUAGUCGGUCCCAAGGGUUGGGCUGUUCGCCCAUUAAAGCGGUACGCGAGCUGGGUUCAGAACGUCGUGAGACAGUUCGGUCCCUAUCCGUCGUGGGCGUAGGAAAUUUGAGAGGAGCUGUCCUUAGUACGAGAGGACCGGGAUGGACAUACCUCUGGUGUACCAGUUGUCGUGCCAACGGCAUAGCUGGGUAGCUAUGUGUGGACGGGAUAAGUGCUGAAAGCAUCUAAGCAUGAAGCCCCCCCUCAAGAUGAGAUUUCCCAACUUCGGUUAUAAGAUCCCUCAAAGACGAUGAGGUUAAUAGGUUCGAGGUGGAAGCAUGGUGACAUGUGGAGCUGACGAAUACUAAUCGAUCGAAGACUUAAUCAA
rnacentral:rRNA from 1 species